ACUCGAUCUAUAAGAACUUGCAUGAUUUUAAUAUCAAACUACUGAGACCAUUGCUUUAUUUAAAUACGACAAUAGACAUACUCUUCAUAAUAAUAUUUGCAACAUGUCUGGUUAACACACGGCAGUGCCUCUACAAAAACGAUGCUGUAAUUCAAACGAAAGCAUACUCGACUCCAAAAUCCUGAUCAAAUACAUCUAUUGCGAAUAUAACUAAUUUCUGUUCUUUUUCUGCUAACCGUGGUCAUGCGUUUGAAUCGUGUUUCCGACGGGAAUAAGGAGAUCACGCCGAAUUUUAAUUUAAUACCAACUGUUCCAGGUUUUGAAAUGACUACUGAUAUAUUAACCGGAGCAGAUUUAUUACGUGAUAAGAAUACAUGUGGAAAAUUUAGUAUCCUUGCCGAUGUUUUGCACAUACGAACAAGUCAAUUAUGCUUUGACAGUUUAGAUUACAAUUCAACAAUCAGUCCGUUUAAAUCGAAGUAAUGCACCAACACAUUCAAAACAGGAUGGUCGAGGCGGAGAGAAGAUACAAAGCUAGGUUUUUGAGAGGUCGAGCUACGAUUAAAAGAUUCCAGAAGGGAGAUAUUGUAAUAAUAAAAAUAUAACCCCAGAAAUCGGAUAUCCCUAUAUUUAAAAUUUUGUGAACUAUACAAAAUCCAGAAAAUAAUUGAGAAUGAUUAAUAUCUUGUAAAGUGAUUUUAGACAAUGGAUGACUUCGAAAUGUGGCACAUGACCAGCUACGAAUGUGGCACAUGACCAGCUACGAUGAGACUUCACAGCAUCUGAGGGACGACACAGAAUUACUAAGCAAGCAGUUAGGUGGACGGUUCGCCUACCUAAUAGUUAUCCG